UACGGAGGGUGCAAACGUUGCUCGGAAUUAUUGGGCGUAAAGCGCACGUAGGCGGUUUCGUAAGUCGGAUGUGAAAGCCCAGGGCUCAACCCUGGAAGUGCAUUCGAAACUGCGGAGCUUGAGUAUGGAAGAGGGUCGCGGAAUUCCCGGUGUAGAGGUGAAAUUCGUAGAGAUCGGGAGGAACACCAGUGGCGAAGGCGGCGACCUGGGCCAAUACUGACGAUGAGGUGCGAAAGCGUGGGGAGCAAACAGG
rnacentral:rRNA from 1 species